AUUCAGCUGAGUCCCAAAUAGGACGAAACGCGCGUCCUGGAU
rnacentral:hammerhead_ribozyme from 1 species